rnacentral:misc_RNA from 1 species
UUAAGUUCAGCGGGUAUCCCUACCUGAUCCGAGGUCAAGAGCAAAAUGUUUGCUAUCUGGAUGCUCGACAUCUAAAGGCAAGAAGUGCAAAAUGUGCUGCGCUCCAGGCCAAUAUGCCGGCUGCCAAUUGCUUUAAGGCGAGUCCACGCGCGAAAGCGGGACAAACACCCAACACCAAGCAGAGCUUGAGGGUACAAAUG